rnacentral:rRNA from 1 species
GGGGAAUAUUGCACAAUGGGGGAAACCCUGAUGCAGCAACGCCGCGUGAGUGAAGAAGUAUUUCGGUAUGUAAAGCUCUAUCAGCAGGGAAGAAAAUGACGGUACCUGACUAAGAAGCACCGGCUAAAUACGUGCCAGCAGCCGCGGUAAUACGUAUGGUGCAAGCGUUAUCCGGAUUUACUGGGUGUAAAGGGAGCGCAGGCGGUCUGGCAAGUCUGAUGUGAAAAUCCGGGGCUCAACUCCGGAACUGCAUUGGAAACUGUCAGACUAGAGUGUCGGAGAGGUAAGUGGAAUUCCUAGUGUAGCGGUGAAAUGCGUAGAUAUUAGGAGGAACACCAGUGGCGAAGGCGGCUUACUGGACGAUAACUGACGCUGAGGCUCGAAAGCGUGGGGAGCAAAC